ACUAAAAAACAAGAGAUGCAAGGUACAUGUGUAAUAAAAGGGAAAGGAUACUAGACAUUGGUAUUCAGUGUGAUCGAUGGAGAAGAGUUAAAGAAGCUACUGGGAUUGAAAAGGACGAGAAAAUGAUGGAAAUAUUGAUCGAUGCAACUACAGUCUACUUCUGAACUAGAGAGCUUCAACAAUCAUCUUUUGAUGUAUGCUCCAAAGCGAAAUGCUUUCAGCUAUGCUGUUUAUAGAUGCAGGUGUCAGUUAGCAGCAAUAGAUUAUUCAAAACACUUGAAUCGUCCUGUUUUGUUGGACCAAGAAGGAAAUUAGAGGGAAAAGAGUGCACUCAAAAGCUGCUGGUAAUUGGAGCACAAGACCUAUGAAAAAACCCAAGGAGUAUACAUACAUAACCAGUUUGAUCACUGAAGUUACAAAUGAAUUCACCAUAGGCAAGAAAAGAAUAAGUGGCAAAUGUGAACAGCUGUCUGAAGACCCCAGAAGAAUUAGGUCAACUAUAGCCCCUGUCACCCAUCCACCUACAUCGAUACUUAGUGAUCAGCAUGUCUCUAGAUUGAGAAAAGCGAAAAAAAUGAAUUGUUGCCCAAGACGUGUUUGAUAUUCAUUUGAAAUUGAGGCAGAAGUUAGAUAACUAUUA